CUACGGGACGCAGCAGUGGGGAAUAUUGCACAAUGGACGAAAGUCUGAUGCAGCAACGCCGCGUGGAGGAUGACACUUUUCGGAGCGUAAACUCCUUUUAUAUCCCAAGAUAAUGACGGUAGGAUAUGAAUAAGCACCGGCUAACUCCGUGCCAGCAGCCGCGGUAAUACGGGGGGUGCAAGCGUUACUCGGAAUCACUGGGCGUAAAGAGCGUGUAGGCGGGUUUGUAAGUUGGAAGUGAAAUCCUGUGGCUCAACCAUAGAACUGCUUCCAAAACUGCUUACCUAGAAUAUGGGAGAGGUAGAUGGAAUUUCUGGUGUAGGGGUAAAAUCCGUAGAGAUCAGAAGGAAUACCGAUUGCGAAGGCGAUCUACUGGAACAUUAUUGACGCUGAGACGCGAAAGCGUGGGGAGCAAACAGGAUUAGAUACCCCCGUAGUC
rnacentral:rRNA from 1 species